rnacentral:rRNA from 1 species
UACGAAGGGAGCUAGCGUUGUUCGGAAUUACUGGGCGUAAAGGGCGCGUAGGCGGUUUAACAAGUUGGGUGUGAAAGCCCAGGGCUCAACCCUGGAACGGCACCCAAGACUGUUUUACUUGAAUUCGGUAGAGGUUGGUGGAAUUCCCAGUGUAGAGGUGAAAUUCGUAGAGAUUGGGAAGAAUAUCCGUGGCGAAGGCGGCCAACUGGACCGACAUUGACGCUGAGGCGCGAAAGCGUGGGGAGCAAACAGG